rnacentral:rRNA from 1 species
UCCUCCCUCUUUCUUCGUGCUUAACACAUGCAAGUCGAACGGAAAGGCCCUGCUUUUGUGGGGUGCUCGAGUGGCGAACGGGUGAGUAACACGUGAGUAACCUGCCCUUGACUUUGGGAUAACUUCAGGAAACUGGGGCUAAUACCGGAUAGGAGCUCCUGCUGCAUGGUGGGGGUUGGAAAGUUUCGGCGGUUGGGGAUGGACUCGCGGCUUAUCAGCUUGUUGGUGGGGUAGUGGCUUACCAAGGCUUUGACGGGUAGCCGGCCUGAGAGGGUGACCGGCCACAUUGGGACUGAGAUACGGCCCAGACUCCUACGGGAGGCAGCAGUGGGGAAUAUUGCACAAUGGGCGGAAGCCUGAUGCAGCAACGCCGCGUGCGGGAUGAAGGCCUUCGGGUUGUAAACCGCUUUCGCCUGUGACGAAGCGUGAGUGACGGUAAUGGGUAAAGAAGCACCGGCUAACUACGUG